AGCACCGGCUAACUCCGUGCCAGCAGCCGCGGUAAUACGGAGGGUGCGAGCGUUAAUCGGAAUAACUGGGCGUAAAGGGCACGCAGGCGGUUAUUUAAGUGAGGUGUGAAAGCCCUGGGCUUAACCUAGGAAUUGCAUUUCAGACUGGGUAACUAGAGUACUUUAGGGAGGGGUAGAAUUCCACGUGUAGCGGUGAAAUGCGUAGAGAUGUGGAGGAAUACCGAAGGCGAAGGCAGCCCCUUGGGAAUGUACUGA
rnacentral:rRNA from 1 species